GACGAACGCUGGCGGCGUGCUUAACACAUGCAAGUCGAACGGAAAGGCCCUGCUUUUGUGGGGUGCUCGAGUGGCGAACGGGUGAGUAACACGUGAGUAACCUGCCCUUGACUUUGGGAUAACUUCAGGAAACUGGGGCUAAUACCGGAUAGGAGCUCCUGCUGCAUGGUGGGGGUUGGAAAGUUUCGGCGGUUGGGGAUGGACUCGCGGCUUAUCAGCUUGUUGGUGGGGUAGUGACUUACCAAGGCUUUGACGGGUAGCCGGCCUGAGAGGGUGACCGGCCACAUUGGGACUGAGAUACGGCCCAGACUCCUACGGGAGGCAGCAGUGGGGAAUAUUGCACAGUGGGCGGAAGCCUGAUGCAGCAACGCCGCGUGCGGGAUGACGGCCUUCGGGUUGUAAACCGCUUUCGCCUGUGACGAAGCGUGAGUGACGGUAAUGGGUAAAGAAGCACCGGCUAACUACGUG
rnacentral:rRNA from 1 species